CUACGGGAUGCUGCAGUGGGGAAUAUUGGACAAUGGGGGAAACCCUGAUCCAGCAAUGCCGCGUGUGUGAAGAAGGCCUGCGGGUUGUAAAGCACUUUCGGUUGGGAGGACUGCUUCUAGCACUAAUAUUGUUGGAAGUUGACGUUACCUUCAGAAGAAGCACCGGCUAACUCCGUGCCAGCAGCCGCGGUAAUACGGGGGGUGCAAGCGUUAAUCGGAAUUACUGGGCGUAAAGCGCGCGUAGGCGGCUAGAUCAGUCGGGUGUGAAAGCCCCAGGCUUAACCUGGGAACUGCAUCCGAUACUGUCUAGCUUGAGUACAGGAGAGGAGAGUGGAAUUCCACAUGUAGCGGUGAAAUGCGUAGAUAUGUGGAGGAACACCAAUGGCGAAGGCAGCUCUCUGGCCUGAUACUGACGCUGAGGUGCGAAAGCGUGGGGAGCAAACAGGAUUAGAUACCCGAGUAGUC
rnacentral:rRNA from 1 species